GAUGAAGAACGUAGCGAAAUGCGAUAAGUAAUGUGAAUUGCAGAAUUCAGUGAAUCAUCGAAUCUUUGAACGCACAUUGCGCCCCCUGGCAUUCCGGGGGGCAUGCCUGUUCGAGCGUCAUUACAACCCUCAAGCUCUGCUUGGUAUUGGGCUCUGCUGGGACCGGCAGGCCUUAAAAUCAGUGGCGGCGCCACUCGGCUUCAAGCGUAGUAAUUCUUCUCGCUUCGGAGACCCGGGUGCGUGCUAGCCAGCAACCCCCAACUUUCUUAGGUUGACCUCGGAUCAGGUAGGGAUACCCGCUGAACUUAAGCAUAUCAAUAAGCCGGAGGA
rnacentral:misc_RNA from 1 species